UACGUAGGGCGCAAGCGUUGUCCGGAAUUAUUGGGCGUAAAGAGCUCGUAGGUGGCUUGUCACGUCGGGUGUGAAAGCUUGGGGCUUAACUCCAGGUCUGCAUUCGAUACGGGCUGGCUAGAGGUAGGUAGGGGAGAACGGAAUUCCUGGUGUAGCGGUGAAAUGCGCAGAUAUCAGGAGGAACACCGGUGGCGAAGGCGGUUCUCUGGGCCAACACUGACGCUGAGGAGCGAAAGCGUGGGGAGCAAACAGG
rnacentral:rRNA from 1 species